CGGGGCGUGGCUCAGCUUGGUAGAGCGCUGCCUUGGGGUGGCAGAGGUCGCAUGUUCAAAUCAUGUCGCUCCGA
rnacentral:tRNA from 1 species